UUCCAGACUCCUACGGGAGGCAGCAGUGAGGAAUAUUGGUCAAUGGUCGGGAGACUGAACCAGCCAAGCCGCGUGAGGGAUGAAGGUACAGAGUAUCGUAAACCUCUUUUGUCAGGGAACAAAGGCGGGGACGUGUCCCCGGAUGAGUGUACCUGAAGAAAAAGCAUCGGCUAACUCCGUGCCAGCAGCCGCGGUAAUACGGAGGAUGCGAGCGUUAUCCGGAUUUAUUGGGUUUAAAGGGUGCGCAGGCGGAUUUUUAAGUCAGCGGUAAAAUCGUGGGGCUCAACCCCAUCCAGCCGUUGAAACUGGGGAUCUAGAGUGUGCGAGGGGUAUGCGGAAUGCGUGGUGUAGCGGUGAAAUGCAUAGAUAUCACGCAGAACCCCGAUUGCGAAGGCAGCAUACCGGUGCACAACUGACGCUCAGGCACGAAAGCGUGGGUAUCGAACAGGAUUAGAUACCCCGGUA
rnacentral:rRNA from 1 species